rnacentral:ncRNA from 1 species
GGGGACCUGCGGGGCCCUAUAACCUGAAAAGACGGGGCGAAUGCCCCGCAAAGCAAACGGAAGACAGUAA